CCUCGUAUUGGGUACCACAGCAGGCUUUCCCAUGUGUAUCAGCGACGCUGGCGUUGACCAUUCCACGAUCAGCCAUGCCUGGCCUCUGAGCCGCCCGUCUGCAGAGGGGCCUUCUGAGAGCAUCUGCCUGGGACCUCAGGCUGGCAGCCUUCUGUGAGGUGGCUGCCCUGGAGACAGGAUCCCGCACGGCCCUGGUGGACCCCCAGGUCAGAGACAGAGAGCACCACUGGAGUCGGCCCUGUUGCUCCCUCCCGCCCUGCGUCCAGACCACAGGCCUCCUGUGCCGGUCCAGCCUCGCCUAGAGGGGAAGCCGCCAUGGGUGCCGAAAGCUGUCGUGCUGUGCUGCCCUGGCUGGAGCGGGCGCUGUCUCCGUGGAGUCCCCUGGGGCCCUGCACUGCCCUGCACGACUCCUGCAGUGCUCUGGGUUCUGGGCUGCUCUGUCCCUCACAGCACUUACCUCGUCAUCCUGGCGUCCUGUAGGCUGCUCUUCCUGAGAUCUGUCCAUGCCCUGCGGGUCUCCUCCAGCAGAGUCCUGCCACCACCCCCAUCCUACGUGCAGCCACCUGGGCCCAGAGCCCUGCGCCUCCACUAUACCUCACCCCCAUGCCUGAGAGUGCAGCUGCCCCUGCCGUGACAGCCCCAGCCUACAACCAACCCCUGGGCCAGUGGGAAGGCGGCACUGUGUAUGCAGCCUUGUCACGCACACGGGUGCACACAGCUGGCCAGCUGUGCCGCAGCCUCCCUGGAGGAGCCCUCACCGUGGGUGCAGUUCCAGGAGCCCUCGGCAGGGCGGGUGCAGCACAGGGCAGCAGGUGGCUGUGCCCCAGUGCCCUGGCUUCCAGUGCAGCCCCCUUUACAUGAGUUUUUACUCCUGCGACCCCUCAAGUACCACCCUGCUCAGGAACUGGGCAAAAUUUGUGGUUAAAGGUGGGUAAAGAAGUUGUUCACUCAGCCUUAAGGUCCACAGAGAACCUCAUCAGGUCAUAUCGGGAAGUAUGCCUGAUCCUGUGAUGCUCCUGCCAUGGACACCACGCAAGCAGCUGGACCAGCGCGGGCAGAGAGUCGUGUCGAUGAGCCCUGGCCAGGAACACCUGGC
rnacentral:lncRNA from 1 species